UUCUGGUGGGGAAGUAAACAAGGCAGAAGGAGACCAUGUUGGGUUUCAUGGGAUGUUAUGACAUGGCCAAAAUAUCUUGGAGGACUAGGAUUUCGGGACCUAGAAGUGUUCAAUCUUACUUUGUUGUCUCUUCGGGCUUGGCGUGUUCUUGAUGAACCAUCUUCGCUAAGUGCAAAAAUAAUGGUGGCAUUGUAUUUUUCCACGAUCAUACUAGAAGCUGAGAUGGGUUCACGGCCAUCUCGGAUUUGGAGAGCUAUAUUAGAUGGGAGGGACAUUAUCCAAUAGGGGAUAAUCAGAAGAAUAGGAGAUGGGGAGACAACAAACAUUUGGACUCGUAACUGGAUCUCUCCGGAAGGCAUGAUGAGACCACUCACUUCACUUAUGCAAAACCCUCCUAAAAGGGUGUCGAAGCUCAUCAGUGUUACUAUAGCAACAUGGCGGGAGGACGUUCUUCGGUAG
rnacentral:rRNA from 1 species